rnacentral:rRNA from 1 species
ACGGGAGGCAGCAGUGAGGAAUCUUGCGCAAUGGGCGAAAGCCUGACGCAGCCACGCCGCGUGCCGGAUGACGGCCCUAUGGGUCGUAAACGGCUUUUACUAGGGAAGAACGAGAGGGUUUUGAUCUUCUGUGACGGUACCUAGCGAAUAAGCACCGGCUAACUCCGUGCCAGCAGCCGCGGUAAUACGGAGGGUGCAAGCGUUGUCCGGAAUCAUUGGGUGUAAAGGGUGCGUAGGCGGGAGCCUAAGUCUGGGGUGAAAUCUUGCCGCUUAACGGUAAAAUGGCCUUGGAUACUGGGUUUCUUGAGUGCAGAAGAAGCAGGUGGAAUUCGUGGUGUAGCGGUGAAAUGCUUAGAUAUCACGAAGAACAUCAGUGGCGAAGGCGGCCUGCUGGUCUGCAACUGACGCUGAGGCACGAAAGCGUGGGGAGCGAACAGGAUUAGAUACCCUGGUAGUCCACGCCGUAAACGAUGCAUACUAGGUGUUGGCCUUAGGGCCAGUGCUGCAGUUAACGCAUUAAGUAUGCCACCUGGGGAGUACGUCGGCAACGAUGAAACUCAAAGGAAUUGACGG